rnacentral:rRNA from 1 species
GGUUAAGCGACUAAGCGUACACGGUGGAUGCCCUGGCAGUCAGAGGCGAUGAAGGACGUGCUAAUCUGCGAUAAGCGUCGGUAAGGUGAUAUGAACCGUUAUAACCGGCGAUUUCCGAAUGGGGAAACCCAGUGUGAUUCGUCACACUAUCAUUAACUGAAUCCAUAGGUUAAUGAGGCGAACCGGGGGAACUGAAACAUCUAAGUACCCCGAGGAAAAGAAAUCAACCGAGAUUCCCCCAGUAGCGGCGAGCGAACGGGGAGGAGCCCAGAGCCUGAAUCAGUGUGUGUGUUAGUGGAAGCGUCUGGAAAGGCGCGCGAUACAGGGUGACAGCCCCGUACACAAAAAUGCACAUAUUGUGAGCUCGAUGAGUAGGGCGGGACACGUGGUAUCCUGUCUGAAUAUGGGGGGACCAUCCUCCAAGGCUAAAUACUCCUGACUGACCGAUAGUGAACCAGUACCGUGAGGGAAAGGCGAAAAGAACCCCGGCGAGGGGAGUGAAAAAGAACCUGAAACCGUGUACGUACAAGCAGUGGGAGCACGCUUAGGCGUGUGACUGCGUACCUUUUGUAUAAUGGGUCAGCGACUUAUAUUCUGUAGCAAGGUUAACCGAAUAGGGGAGCCGAAGGGAAACCGAGUCUUAACUGGGCGUUAAGUUGCAGGGUAUAGACCCGAAACCCGGUGAUCUAGCCAUGGGCAGGUUGAAGGUUGGGUAACACUAACUGGAGGACCGAACCGACUAAUGUUGAAAAAUUAGCGGAUGACUUGUGGCUGGGGGUGAAAGGCCAAUCAAACCGGGAGAUAGCUGGUUCUCCCCGAAAGCUAUUUAGGUAGCGCCUCGUGAAUUCAUCUCCGGGGGUAGAGCACUGUUUCGGCAAGGGGGUCAUCCCGACUUACCAACCCGAUGCAAACUGCGAAUACCGGAGAAUGUUAUCACGGGAGACACACGGCGGGUGCUAACGUCCGUCGUGAAGAGGGAAACAACCCAGACCGCCAGCUAAGGUCCCAAAGUCAUGGUUAAGUGGGAAACGAUGUGGGAAGGCCCAGACAGCCAGGAUGUUGGCUUAGAAGCAGCCAUCAUUUAAAGAAAGCGUAAUAGCUCACUGGUCGAGUCGGCCUGCGCGGAAGAUGUAACGGGGCUAAACCAUGCACCGAAGCUGCGGCAGCGACGCUUAUGCGUUGUUGGGUAGGGGAGCGUUCUGUAAGCCUGCGAAGGUGUGCUGUGAGGCAUGCUGGAGGUAUCAGAAGUGCGAAUGCUGACAUAAGUAACGAUAAAGCGGGUGAAAAGCCCGCUCGCCGGAAGACCAAGGGUUCCUGUCCAACGUUAAUCGGGGCAGGGUGAGUCGACCCCUAAGGCGAGGCCGAAAGGCGUAGUCGAUGGGAAACAGGUUAAUAUUCCUGUACUUGGUGUUACUGCGAAGGGGGGACGGAGAAGGCUAUGUUGGCCGGGCGACGGUUGUCCCGGUUUAAGCGUGUAGGCUGGUUUUCCAGGCAAAUCCGGAAAAUCAAGGCUGAGGCGUGAUGACGAGGCACUACGGUGCUGAAGCAACAAAUGCCCUGCUUCCAGGAAAAGCCUCUAAGCAUCAGGUAACAUCAAAUCGUACCCCAAACCGACACAGGUGGUCAGGUAGAGAAUACCAAGGCGCUUGAGAGAACUCGGGUGAAGGAACUAGGCAAAAUGGUGCCGUAACUUCGGGAGAAGGCACGCUGAUAUGUAGGUGAAGUCCCUUGCGGAUGGAGCUGAAAUCAGUCGAAGAUACCAGCUGGCUGCAACUGUUUAUUAAAAACACAGCACUGUGCAAACACGAAAGUGGACGUAUACGGUGUGACGCCUGCCCGGUGCCGGAAGGUUAAUUGAUGGGGUCAGCGCAAGCGAAGCUCUUGAUCGAAGCCCCGGUAAACGGCGGCCGUAACUAUAACGGUCCUAAGGUAGCGAAAUUCCUUGUCGGGUAAGUUCCGACCUGCACGAAUGGCGUAAUGAUGGCCAGGCUGUCUCCACCCGAGACUCAGUGAAAUUGAACUCGCUGUGAAGAUGCAGUGUACCCGCGGCAAGACGGAAAGACCCCGUGAACCUUUACUAUAGCUUGACACUGAACAUUGAGCCUUGAUGUGUAGGAUAGGUGGGAGGCUUUGAAGUGUGGACGCCAGUCUGCAUGGAGCCGACCUUGAAAUACCACCCUUUAAUGUUUGAUGUUCUAACGUUGACCCGUGAUCCGGGUUGCGGACAGUGUCUGGUGGGUAGUUUGACUGGGGCGGUCUCCUCCUAAAGAGUAACGGAGGAGCACGAAGGUUGGCUAAUCCUGGUCGGACAUCAGGAGGUUAGUGCAAUGGCAUAAGCCAGCUUGACUGCGAGCGUGACGGCGCGAGCAGGUGCGAAAGCAGGUCAUAGUGAUCCGGUGGUUCUGAAUGGAAGGGCCAUCGCUCAACGGAUAAAAGGUACUCCGGGGAUAACAGGCUGAUACCGCCCAAGAGUUCAUAUCGACGGCGGUGUUUGGCACCUCGAUGUCGGCUCAUCACAUCCUGGGGCUGAAGUAGGUCCCAAGGGUAUGGCUGUUCGCCAUUUAAAGUGGUACGCGAGCUGGGUUUAGAACGUCGUGAGACAGUUCGGUCCCUAUCUGCCGUGGGCGCUGGAGAACUGAGGGGGGCUGCUCCUAGUACGAGAGGACCGGAGUGGACGCAUCACUGGUGUUCGGGUUGUCAUGCCAAUGGCACUGCCCGGUAGCUAAAUGCGGAAGAGAUAAGUGCUGAAAGCAUCUAAGCACGAAACUUGCCCCGAGAUGAGUUCUCCCUGACCCUUUAAGGGUCCUGAAGGAACGUUGAAGACGACGACGUUGAUAGGCCGGGUGUGUAAGCGCAGCGAUGCGUUGAGCUAACCGGUACUAAUGAACCGUGAGGCUUAACCUU